rnacentral:rRNA from 1 species
CCCUUAGAUGUUCUGGGCUGCACGCGUGCUACACUGAUAUUGCCAAUAUGUCAUUCUUAUCCGUAAUGGAUUGGGUAAUCAAGUAAUGAAAUUUCAUGCUUGGAAUCGGUAAUUGCAAUUUUAUCGUGAACGAGGAAUUCCUAGUAAGCACUAGUCAUCAGCUAAUGUUGAUUAUGUCCCUGCCCUUUGUACACACCGCCCGUCGCUACUACUGAUUGGGUGUUCAAGUGAGAUGCUUAGACCCUUGUUGCAUGGUUCAUUAUUGUGCUCCGAAAGGAAAAAGUUUCAAGCUUGAGUGUCUAGAGGAAGUAAAAGUCGUAACA